GUCUACAGCCACACCAUCCAGAACAUGACUGAUUUUGGAAACUAAGGAGGGCUGGGCCAUUUAUUCUUGAAUGGGAGACUGUCUUGGAAUACCAGGUGCUUACU
rnacentral:rRNA from 1 species